UGUGACUGUCUAUGUAGGCUAAGAAUUCAAUAUCGCUUCAAAGCAAAGUUUAAUUAGAAAUAUUGCAAUUUGUUGGUAAUACAUUUUAUAUGAAUUUUAAAUACAGGUGCAUUUUCUUCAGAGAAAGACACUUUACAUACUACCUAAACAAGAUUCCUUUCUCUCUCUCUUUUUUUUUUAAGAUUUUAUUUCUUUAUUUGAGAGAGAGAGAGAGACAGAGAGCACACUUGAGCAGGGGGAGGGUCAGAGGGAGCAGCAGACUCCUCUCUGAGCAGGGAGCCUGAGGUAAGACUUCAUCUAAGGACCCUGAGAUCAAGACAGAUGCUUAAUUGGUUGAACCACCCAGGUGCCCCAACAAGAUUUCUAAUGUAGGCAUUUACAACCAAUUUACAUGCUGAUUUUUUACUUUCAUAAACAUUUUAGUUGUAGAAAACUAUAGAUAACUAUAGAAUGGACAUACACAUGUUAUAUUGAUUGAUGUAAAUGAAUGAGGCCCAUGUGUAUGCCUCCUUCCAUAGCGUGCACAAAUUUUUAAACUAUUAUUCAAAUGAAGUUGAGAAAUGCCAAAGGUAAACUUAUUAUUCUCAAAAUUGCCUGAAGCUCCUGAAUUGACACUACUUCCUCUCAGAAUUUUAGAAAAAGAUUUUUAUUACAUAUUAGUAGUCUAUAAUAGUCAAUUGUUAUUAUAACCACAUAACCAUUUGGUGGAUUUUAAACAGAACAAAGGGUGUAAUAGAAGAGAGUAGAGAUCAACAGGCAAUGUUUGAACUUGACAUUUUGCAUGGCUUCUCUUUACAGAACCUGGAUCUUUGUAGAGUAUAAUGGAUCAGCAUAGAGUGAUCCAUAUGCAUGAUCCAGACCUGGAUCAGCAUAGAGUAAAAUGAAACUUGGAAACACCUAAAAUUAGUGUAAGCCCACAGAGAAGGGCCUUCAUGAAGCUAGGAGGCUUGGAGUAUUAUACCAGAUUGACCCAAGAACAAGACAAGUUGGGGAAAUCUUUGCUUUUCCGCAAACUACUUUUGACUGCUGUGUAAACCACUGUUUCCCACCAGUUGAUCAAUACCUAAUAUAAGGAUCUAUAGUGACAAAUUCUUUUUAUAAUUUAGACCCAGGGAAGUAACAAUCUCUUUUGAUAUAAAUGGCAUCUUUGGUAUUAAGCAGUAAUACAGUGUAUGCUAUAGUAUUUUUUGCCUUGCCUUCUUUCCUUGGAUAACAGAAGAAUCUGGAACAAGUUUAAUAUUCUGUGGAAUAAUAAUGACAUAGGUGAAUAGUAUUUUCCCAUCACCUUUAAUGUACUUAUUUAGGUGGCUUUUUAAAGUUUUCUACCCCUCUUUUAUGCAAAUAGAAAAUGGAAGAAAUCCUAAUUUCUCUUCAGUCUUUUUCUUAGCUAAGAUGUUUCAUAAACGUAGUCAGAUGACAGCAAACCUAUAGACAUCAUUCAGACACACAUAGCAGAGUUAAUACAGGAUUGAGGUCAGUUAAACUGAUUUUAUUCUUUAAUGGUUAACUUUAAUGUGAUAUAAUAUAAAAUAUUAGCAUUUGAUAAAUCACAUAUAUACAAGGUGACAUGACAGGAUGCAUAAAAUAAAGCCCUGGGAUAGAAAAUACCUCUCAUCAGUUCCUUGACAUGUCCAAUUCACUAAUGAUUGCCUUAUUCUGUCUCUUUCUCUUACUUGUGUUCUGGGUCUCAUUCUCUCUCCCUCAUCCUUAUCAGAGGAGUUAUCAUAUAAAGUACCUCUUUACAAACCAUAUAAAUUUUAUAGGCUAUACUGAGUUCAGUAGAAGGGCAUUUUACUACCCACUUAAUUCAUCUGAGGUUUUGAGGGAGGAGGGUGAGAGCCUGGAGCUCUUCAUGUUUUAUUUUUGCACGCUUUUGUCAGGGCUUUCAGAAUGCAUCAUAUCUAUAAGGCAACACCCUGUCUACAUUUCUGCACGUUGUUUGUGUACAAACUCAGAACUGCCAUUUCACAUCACAGUACAUUGAUUUUUAAUGUUCUUCUAAUUUAGGCUAAAGAUGUAGAAAUCUUAGGUCAGUUAGGCUGCAUGCUGACCUGUGUUUGAACUUUCUCCCAGCUGCUCCCAGGUCCGUAUCAACAUUGUUUUGAGCUAUCCCAUUUGGAUGAAGCAAUCCCAAUAUUCUUUAAAAGGGAGAGAUUAAGAUCAUUUUUUUUUAAAUAGCUAAGAGCAUUCAAUAAUGACGAUGAAAUUGGACGAUGGCUGUUAUUUUGCUGGAUUAAAGCAUACACGUACUGUUCGUGUCUGGUCUUAUUUGCUCUUUAAAAAUAUUGUUAUUAUUUCUUCUAUGAGACAUUAAAUUGAUUUGUCCUUUUGGGGAUAGCACUGAGCUAAAUGCAACUGCUUGGAAUUAUAUAAAUGCGUGACAACAGUGCCACCCAGGCUUUUUUGUGGGAUCUAAUGCAUGAAUUAUCAUAGGAAAAGUAGGAUAAUGCAGCAUCCAAUGACAUGUUUGUCCAAAAAGAUAAUUCUAGAAUUUUAUUUUUUUAUUUUUAUUUUUUUUUUUAAUUCUAGAAUUUUAAAAAAGAGUGAAAAGUGUAGUACAUUUGUAGUGAGCAGUUUUAAGAGAGAUUUAAACAAGAGAUGAGGAGAUAUGUAGCAUAUAGAAAGCACUUGGUGAGUGCACGAACAAGAGUGACAAGUUUUAAAUUUUUCUAAGAGUCUUCUUUUGAAUAUGGUAGAUAUAUUUAUUAUAUUAGCUAAUGUGGCAAAUUUAUCUUUUCAUUGCUUUACUCCCUCCCAAGUUAAUUAGUUUGGUGGUGCAAGGUAGAAGAAAAAUGCUUUCAGAAGAUAAAACAAUUCCAUCCAGUAAAUCACAUUUAUAAUGUAUGAAUAAAACCUUUUGUAAUUCAUAUAAAACUUUCAUUUCUUAAAUUCUACUCCUUAGCUUAGAAGCCUGCAAAGCUGAAGUGUAAGUUUGCCUUUCAAUUGUUGUCUUCUUAUUGAUAUGCUGUAUACUGCUUUGGUCCAUUUCCUACUAAACACUUACCAGGGCUUAAAUA
rnacentral:lncRNA from 1 species